rnacentral:rRNA from 1 species
UGCCGCGUGAGUGAAGAAGGCCUUCGGGUUGUAAAGCUCUUUCGUGAGGGAAGAAAAGGUUCAGGCGAAUAACCUGGAUUGAUGACGGUACCUCAAGAAGAAGCACCGGCUAACUACGUGCCAGCAGCCGCGGUAAUACGUAGGGUGCGAGCGUUAAUCGGAAUUACUGGGCGUAAAGCGUGCGCAGGUGGUUUGUUAAGUCAGAUGUGAAAGCCCCGAGCUUAACUUGGGAACUGCGUUUGAAACUGGCAAGCUAGAGUCUGUCAGAGGGGGGUAGAAUUCCACGUGUAGCAGUGAAAUGCGUAGAGAUGUGGAGGAAUACCAAUGGCGAAGGCAGCCCCCUGGGAUAAGACUGACGCUCAUGCACGAAAGCGUGGGGAGCAAACAGGAUUAGAUACCCUGGUAGUCCACGCCCUAAACGAUGUCAACUGGUUGUUGGGCAACAUGAUUGCUCAGUAACGAAUCUAACGCGAGAAGUUGACCGCCUGGGGAGUACGGUCGCAAGAUUAAAACUCAAAGGAAUUGACGGGGACCCGCAC